rnacentral:siRNA from 1 species
AGGAUUGAUGCGAUUGUCACUGAG